CCUACGGGAGGCAGCAGUGGGGAAUAUUGCACAAUGGGCGCAAGCCUGAUGCAGCCAUGCCGCGUGUGUGAAGAAGGCCUUAGGGUUGUAAAGCACUUUCAGCGAGGAGGAAGGCGUUGUUGUUAAUAGCAGCAGCGAUUGACGUUACUCGCAGAAGAAGCACCGGCUAACUCCGUGCCAGCAGCCGCGGUAAU
rnacentral:rRNA from 1 species